GGAUGUGGCUCAAGCGGUAGUGCGCUCGCCUGGCAUGCGCGGGGCGCUGGGUUCGAUCCUCAGCAUCACA
rnacentral:tRNA from 1 species